rnacentral:lncRNA from 1 species
AUGUGUGAGACCCUGUGUGCAGUUGUCCUUCAAGAAAAUUCUGCCCUGAAUAUUUUGGCCUUUCCUUCUUGUAUUGCUUUGCUUGUCAUUCCAGGUGAGUCAAGAUCAGAAGCUCUACAAGUGUGGUUUAUUCCCUAUGUGUGUGGCAAACAAACAAAAAGCCUCCAGAAAUGUGUAGCCCGGCAUCUUACUAAAGGACAGAAGGGUCUUUCAGGAAAUAUGUCUGAUUUCAUGCCCUCCCGCUGGCUCUCCAGUGAUUAUGAAGGAAACAAGGAGAUAGUCCUUGAUGUCUAUCUGAACAAGAACAGGGAUCAGGAGGAACUGCGCUUCAGAAACCUGGAAGGUAAGGGGAGUGUGAAAUAUGGGAGGGAGAAUACAACUGCACAGUGAUGGUGUGAAGGAAUCGGAUCCAGGGAUGAAGGAAAUAUUAGUUACUCUACAUUUUGGAUAAGGUCUGUAGAUGGGCACCACCUAGAAAACUGGUUCGUUAUGGUUCAGGGCUUUUAAAAAAAGUUUGUGCAGGGAAACGUUUAGAGCCAGCAAGCCAGCUUUCCUUCUCAGAGCCAGUGCACAUGUGCUCGCUGCUCAGGCGAUAGGUGGACACAUGCGUAGAAGUUGCAGGAAGGGAAAUUGGCCCACUGCCUCUGACGGUGGUGGCGAUGGUGGCAAAGGCAGCAGGGGCAAGGGCAGGUCGGUGGAGGUGACAAGGGCAGUGGUAAGGAGCAGGUGGGCAUCCAUUUUGCUGAAACAAAUGAAAUGCCAAAGAGAAAAAAGUUUGGGUCUUUCUUUUGCUUUGCCAAAAUAGGAUUCCUGCACUGGGUUGCAAACCGAACCAGGAACCAGUCCAAUUUGUCAGGUUUUGUGGUUCAUGGUUCGGUUUGUGCUCAUCUGUCAUAAGGUCUCUUUUUCUAGACUUUGACUGCCCUCUAGUGGUUUGAGAGAGGAGUGCAGUAACUCCAACUCUUCUUAAAUCCAAGGAAGCUGCUGUAGGGAAGCCCGGCCUAGACCAUCCCGUAGCCCUUGCUUGCCUUCAGGGGCAGCCCCUUGAUCUUUGGGCCACUCCAGAGGAACUCGGCUGUAACCUCAGAGAUAAUUGUGACUGUUCUUCAUUGGACUGAAGGCCUUGGGCAACCCUUUCGGGCUAGGAAAGCUUGGCCUUCCGAUUUCAACUCUGUGUGGCUCUUUAUCUGGACCAGGGGUCUUUUUUCAGCUGAAGUGGGUUGGUAUGCUUUUUUGUUGUUAUGCGGGUGGUUUGUUUGUUCUGUUUUGUGAUUUAACGUUUCUGGUCUCAAUUUUUCCCCUCCCUCCCAAACCCACUUUUUUCUUUAUAUGCAUAGAGAUUUUUAAUUAUCUGAAUGAUCUAGAUGAAGAGACAUGGCACCUUCACCUCGAAGGCCAUUCUAAGUCAGCACCAGGUAACUGUGCCCCACUUUUUAUCUGGAUAGGGGGUCCUCUGCCUGGGUCAAAGCCAGAUUAUAUAAAUGGAAAUAAAGAAAGACAAUGUUAUGUUUAUUUAGGUAAC